rnacentral:lncRNA from 13 species
AUGGACCCCACACACACAGGCCAGCACCCCCCCACAUUCCGCCCAGGGCGCUGGGCCUGGAACCACAGCGAGGCUCCAGCGGGCCCCCAGUGGCCUUUUCUUCUUGAAGACGCGUCCUGGGCCUGUCUACGUCGCCAAGGAAACUCGCGAUGGCGUAAAUGGGCCGUCAGAGGAGUUGCAGUUGAAGUUUGGCUGGAAGGGAACGUCAGAAGCGCAGCUCCUCCUGGCGGGGUCCUGCCCACCCUAUGGCGCUGCGAGGCCUGGGGUGGGACUGCGCCUUCUUCUCCGCCUCGGCAUCUCCCGUCUGUGGAGAGGCUGGGCUUGCUCUGGGCGUUCAUUCCGGGAAGACCCCCGACCCCUCCUCCUCGGUGGUGCUCCCACCCCACCCCCGCCGAGCCAAGCUCCCCCUCAAGCCCUGGCGCUGCUGCCCGCGCCCCACAACCACGUCCCUUCCAUGGUUCUGUGGAAGGUUUCUCCUUGAGUCUGGAGACAAGGCACCCUGCGGGGAGAGUGGCCACCUGCACCAGCUGUGAGAGGAGCUGCACCAGGGCCGAGCCCCGCAUCCUGGUCCUGUCUCUCCAUCCAGCAUCCCUGCAGGAGGCCCUGCCUACAGAAGGUGUGAGAAGCAGCCUCCCUGUGAAAGUGCUUGUGUGUCCCCGAGGGGAGAAGUUGGGACACUGGUUCCUGUCAUCAGGUGCAGCUCAGAGCAGGGCCCCAGGACGUGAGCUGCAGACAGGAGCACAGAGAGGGUGGGCGCUACUGGGGUGCACAGGCAGCUUGAGGAGGAUGGAGAUGGCAAACUUCCUGUCAUCAUGCUAGGGCUGUGUUUAGGGCCAUGUUUAGGGCCAGAGGACCAGCAGGUCCCCAAAGCCUCCAGUGCUUCCAGAGGCCAGUGGCAAGCAGUGUCCAGGGACCCCACAGCCACCACUGAGGCCCACCUGCUCAUUCCCCAGCUGGAUGCCUACUGGCUGCCACACUCCAGGUCUCCAGGCCCUGCCUGGGACGCGUGUUGGGCCUUCUCUCCCAAGCAGGAGUUAUCUGCGUGCCCUCGGCAUCCCACAGGUUUGCUUUGUCUCUGAGGAAAUAAUUAAGGAGUGUUAGUAUGAUAACAGAAAAUUGCUAAUUAUGGCAAAGAGCUAACACGGCGAUCCGGGAACUUGUGGAGCUCUAGUUAGUGAUGACAGAAGAGGAAAAUAUUUGACUGUUUUGUGCUGCACCCAGGUUCUCAGGAGGCGGCGAGAGAUCAGACUUGGCACCGUGCCACGCUCGGAGCCCUUGGUCCCAGAGAUGCUGCUUUCCCUGUGGGAGUUCGGAGCAGAGGCGGUCAGCUGGGAAGCUCAGGAUGGAGUGAGGAAGGAGGGCGACUUGGGGUGCUUGGGUUGCAGAGAUCUAACACCCCAAGAGGGACUGGCUGUGGCCUAUGCCCACCCCAAACUCACACAGUCUGUCAUGCUCACACACAUGUACACACAUUUCCACACUCAUGCAUACACAUGCCCAGGC